GCAACCCUGGUGGCGAGUGGCGAACGGGUGAGUAAUAUAUCGGAACGUGCCCUAGAGUGGGGGAUAACGUAGCGAAAGUUACGCUAAUACCGCAUACGAUCUAUGGAUGAAAGCGGGGGAUCGCAAGACCUCGUGCUCCUGGAGCGGCCGAUAUCUGAUUAGCUAGUUGGUAGGGUAAAAGCCUACCAAGGCGACGAUCAGUAGCUGGUUUGAGAGAACGACCAGCCACACUGGGACUGAGACACGGCCCAGACUCCUACGGGAGGCAGCAGUGGGGAAUUUUGGACAAUGGGGGCAACCCUGAUCCAGCAAUGCCGCGUGUGUGAAGAAGGCCUUCGGGUUGUAAAGCACUUUUGUCCGGAACGAAACGCGCUGAGCUAAUACCUCGGCGUAAGACGGUACCGGAAGAAA
rnacentral:rRNA from 1 species